rnacentral:lncRNA from 14 species
AAAGGGUAUCUAUUAAACGGAUCUCCUGGAGGUAUGGGAGGCUCUGUGACACAUCUCCUGAAGCAGGGUUAAUCUUUGGCCAGAGAACUGCUUUGAGAUAGAGAAACAUGACAGGGAGAUGCCCAGCUGUGCUGCCAGUCUUCGCGGUACUUCGCUAUGUCUCCCUGCAGGUCUGUGUGUAGCUGAAGCCGGGUACUCGUCCAUCGACCUGCCCGAGUCACCAGGCGUCAUUUAACAGAAGAGUUUUAAGACAAAACCAAAGAGAGCAUCACCCCGGGAGUCACAUCCUUUCACCCAUCUCCGGCCCUCCACAGCGUUUGACCACUCCUCCUCACCCCACCGGCUGCGAGCUGCAUGUGAUGCCUGGUGUCGCACAGAUAUGGGGCUGUUGUACAGAACAUUGCUUAUAACAAUAUCACAAAGAGAGUCCCUAGCAGUAGAGUCCUAGGUGGAAAUGAAACCUCCUUGAAAUAAGUAAAUCCCAGGUGUUUAUUUCCUAUUAAGCUAGCAGAUAGUUUGUUCAUUUUGUCGCAAUUUGCAGCAUCCAACCAGAUACGGGUGGAAACUUCUUGUCUUCCUUCCUCUUUUAUAUUUCCAGUCUGGGAAACAGCAAAAAAUGUUAGUGAAAAGAGUUAACAUCUGUGUGUGAGAGAGAGAGAAAAUGAUGAAGCAGGCUGGCCAGGCAGCCAGCCUCAGGAGAUGGUAACACAGAAGAGCUAUUCAUUCUGGAAGCCAGUUGCUCCUCGCCCUGCUAGAUUAUAAAUUGGACACCUUAUUAAGAGUUGAUCCUCCAGCAGCCCCACCCUGGGCUGUGCUCAUGCUCUAAACCAGCAGAACGUAAUCCUGUUUCACUAUUGAUGCUUGUUACUGAAUAAGCACAUGUGCAAGCAGGACAGAGGAUACUAAGCAGAAAGAAGCAGCACCCUGGCUGUUUUCUGAAUUGUCAGUUUAAGAAAAUGAGAUGGGGUUUGGGGAGGGAAUGGGGAGGAGGUUGAUUUGCACCAAAAUUUGAACACUUUUAUGAUGAUGCUAACUGCCUUGCCAAAUAAUUAAACCACCAGCUUUUUUUUUUUGCUUGUUUUCUCAGUUGUAACUUAAAAAUGCUGACUCACUGGCACGGUGUGCCAACCCAAAUGUUGCUGCUGGAAUCAACCA